rnacentral:rRNA from 1 species
CCGAAUGGGGAAACCCAGUGUGAUUCGUCACACUAUCAUUAACUGAAUCCAUAGGUUAAUGAGGCGAACCGGGGGAACUGAAACAUCUAAGUACCCCGAGGAAAAGAAAUCAACCGAGAUUCCCCCAGUAGCGGCGAGCGAACGGGGAGGAGCCCAGAGCCUGAAUCAGCAUGUGUGUUAGUGGAAGCGUCUGGAAAGGCGCGCGAUACAGGGUGACAGCCCCGUACACAAAAGCGCAUGUGCUGUGAGCUCGAUGAGUAGGGCGGGACACGUGGUAUCCUGUCUGAAUAUGGGGGGACCAUCCUCCAAGGCUAAAUACUCCUGACUGACCGAUAGUGAACCAGUACCGUGAGGGAAAGGCGAAAAGAACCCCGGCGAGGGGAGUGAAAAAGAACCUGAAACCGUGUACGUACAAGCAGUGGGAGCACCCUUCGGGGUGUGACUGCGUACCUUUUGUAUAAUGGGUCAGCGACUUAUAUUCUGUAGCAAGGUUAACCGUAUAGGGGAGCCGGAGGGAAACCGAGUCUUAAUUGGGCGUUAAGUUGCAGGGUAUAGACCCGAAACCCGGUGAUCUAGCCAUGGGCAGGUUGAAGGUUGGGUAACACUAACUGGAGGACCGAACCGACUAAUGUUGAAAAAUUAGCGGAUGACCUGUGGCUGGGGGUGAAAGGCCAAUCAAACCGGGAGAUAGCUGGUUCUCCCCGAAAGCUAUUUAGGUAGCGCCUCGUGAAUUCAUCUCCGGGGGUAGAGCACUGUUUCGGCUAGGGGGCCAUCCCGGCUUACCAACCCGAUGCAAACUGCGAAUACCGGAGAAUGUUAUCACGGGAGACACACGGCGGGUGCUAACGUCCGUCGUGAAGAGGGAAACAACCCAGACCGCCAGCUAAGGUCCCAAAGUCAUGGUUAAGUGGGAAACGAUGUGGGAAGGCCCAGACAGCCAGGAUGUUGGCUUAGAAGCAGCCAUCAUUUAAAGAAAGCGUAAUAGCUCACUGGUCGAGUCGGCCUGCGCGGAAGAUGUAACGGGGCUAAACCAUGCACCGAAGCUGCGGCAGCGAACGUAUCACCCAAGACAACUUUACGGAGUUGACGAUUGACGGAGCGAAGCGACGUCAAAGCGUUCAUUAAAGUCGAGUUGGCUUAGGGAUACGUUCGUUGGGUAGGGGAGCGUUCUGUAAGCCUGUGAAGGUGUGUCGUGAGGCAUGCUGGAGGUAUCAGAAGUGCGAAUGCUGACAUAAGUAACGAUAAAGCGGGUGAAAAGCCCGCUCGCCGGAAGACCAAGGGUUCCUGUCCAACGUUAAUCGGGGCAGGGUGAGUCGACCCCUAAGGCGAGGCCGAAAGGCGUAGUCGAUGGGAAACGGGUUAAUAUUCCCGUACUUGGUGUUACUGCGAAGGGGGGACGGAGAAGGCUAUGUUGGCCGGGCGACGGUUGUCCCGGUUUAAGCGUGUAGGUGUGUGUUCCAGGUAAAUCCGGUUCACUUUAACACUGAGGCGUGACGACGAGGCACUACGGUGCUGAAGCAACAAAUGCCCUGCUUCCAGGAAAAGCCUCUAAGCAUCAGGUAACAUCAAAUCGUACCCCAAACCGACACAGGUGGUCAGGUAGAGAAUACCAAGGCGCUUGAGAGAACUCGGGUGAAGGAACUAGGCAAAAUGGUGCCGUAACUUCGGGAGAAGGCACGCUGACACGUAGGUGAAGUGAUUUACUCAUGGAGCUGAAGUCAGUCGAAGAUACCAGCUGGCUGCAACUGUUUAUUAAAAACACAGCACUGUGCAAACACGAAAGUGGACGUAUACGGUGUGACGCCUGCCCGGUGCCGGAAGGUUAAUUGAUGGGGUCAGCGCAAGCGAAGCUCCUGAUCGAAGCCCCGGUAAACGGCGGCCGUAACUAUAACGGUCCUAAGGUAGCGAAAUUCCUUGUCGGGUAAGUUCCGACCUGCACGAAUGGCGUAAUGAUGGCCAGGCUGUCUCCACCCGAGACUCAGUGAAAUUGAACUCGCUGUGAAGAUGCAGUGUACCCGCGGCAAGACGGAAAGACCCCGUGAACCUUUACUAUAGCUUGACACUGAACAUUGAGCCUUGAUGUGUAGGAUAGGUGGGAGGCUUUGAAGUGUGGACGCCAGUCUGCAUGGAGCCGACCUUGAAAUACCACCCUUUAAUGUUUGAUGUUCUAACGUGGACCCGUUACCCGGGUUGCGGACAGUGUCUGGUGGGUAGUUUGACUGGGGCGGUCUCCUCCUAAAGAGUAACGGAGGAGCACGAAGGUUGGCUAAUCCUGGUCGGACAUCAGGAGGUUAGUGCAAUGGCAUAAGCCAGCUUGACUGCGAGCGUGACGGCGCGAGCAGGUGCGAAAGCAGGUCAUAGUGAUCCGGUGGUUCUGAAUGGAAGGGCCAUCGCUCAACGGAUAAAAGGUACUCCGGGGAUAACAGGCUGAUACCGCCCAAGAGUUCAUAUCGACGGCGGUGUUUGGCACCUCGAUGUCGGCUCAUCACAUCCUGGGGCUGAAGUAGGUCCCAAGGGUAUGGCUGUUCGCCAUUUAAAGUGGUACGCGAGCUGGGUUUAGAACGUCGUGAGACAGUUCGGUCCCUAUCUGCCGUGGGCGCUGGAGAACUGAGGGGGGCUGCUCCUAGUACGAGAGGACCGGAGUGGACGCAUCACUGGUGUUCGGGUUGUCAUGCCAAUGGCACUGCCCGGUAGCUAAAUGCGGAAGAGAUAAGUGCUGAAAGCAUCUAAGCACGAAACUUGCCCCGAGAUGAGUUCUCCCUGAGACUUAGAGUCUCCUGAAGGAACGUUGAAGACGACGACGUUGAUAGGCCGGGUGUGUAAGCGCAGCGAUGCGUUGAGCUAACCGGUACUAAUGAACCGUGAGGCUUAACCUUACAACGCCGAAG